CGCAGCGAUGCGUUGAGCUAACCGGUACUAAUGAGCCGUGAGGCUUAACCUUACAACGCCGAAGGUGUUU
rnacentral:rRNA from 1 species